GCCAAGGUAGCUUAGUGGCGAAGCGGUGGACUGCAGAUCCAUUACACGUGAGUUCAAAUCUCACCCUUGGCUUCA
rnacentral:tRNA from 1 species